rnacentral:rRNA from 1 species
UAGGGAAUCUUCCGCAAUGGGCGAAAGCCUGACGGAGCAACGCCGCGUGAGUGAUGAAGGUCUUCGGAUCGUAAAACUCUGUUAUUAGGGAAGAACAAAUGUGUAAGUAACUAUGCACGUCUUGACGGUACCUAAUCAGAAAGCCACGGCUAACUACGUGCCAGCAGCCGCGGUAAUACGUAGGUGGCAAGCGUUAUCCGGAAUUAUUGGGCGUAAAGCGCGCGUAGGCGGUUUUUUAAGUCUGAUGUGAAAGCCCACGGCUCAACCGUGGAGGGUCAUUGGAAACUGGAAAACUUGAGUGCAGAAGAGGAAAGUGGAAUUCCAUGUGUAGCGGUGAAAUGCGCAAAGAUAUGGAGGAACACCAGUGGCGAAGGCGACUUUCUGGUCUGUAACUGACGCUGAUGUGCGAAAGCGUGGGGAUCAAACAGG